UAGUGCGACGUCCCAUCUGUGUGAGGUGUAGGAGGGUCAAUCCUGUGUGUGCGUCUCGUCAUGCACAAGCAGGCCUGUCCGUGCACAUCACAUCACACGCGGACAGGAUAAGGCAUUGCACACUAUGUGCGUGCUGUCUACGCAGUAGGCCUGCGGGUAGUAGGCCUACGUGCAGUGCCCCAGCGUGUUAUAGGACCUCUGCACAUGCAGUCUAGCUCCUGUAGUGUGUACCAACCAGGUUGACACAAUACUAC
rnacentral:lncRNA from 1 species